GCAUCUGGUCUGGAGAAAUGAGGGCGUGGAGCUUUGGAGAGCUGCUCCUGAGUGCUUCCACCUGCAUGCUUUAUGUUCUAAUUAAGGCUUUUUGUUUUCUGUGAUUUUUGUAAAUGUGUCAGAUCUUUAUUUGCAACCUGCUCCAGAACUCACAAUACUUCACUGAAAAACUGUAGUUGUAAGAUUUAGCAUUAAUAUUUCUUAACAAUAGAAUUGGGGCAGCAUGUUGGCACAGUAUUUAGCACUGGGGCCUCACACCUCUGGAACUAGACUUCGACAAGUACAGGUUCUCUGCUAUGGCGCAUGUUCUGGACCCCCUGCAACCCUGAAUAGGAGAAGCGCUUACAGAAAGUGGAGGGAUGGACAGAAUAGUAAAACUGCAUUAUGUUCAGCUUGAAGGAAAACCAGAAUGCUGCCAGGUCAGGCAGGGAAACGUUCAGCUGACACAGCCCAGCUAGCCUGACCUGUGCUUUCCUGGGGGAUCUGGCUUGGAACCGAGCAGAAAAUGAGAAAAACAGUCAAGAUGUACAGAGAUAUUGUGAGUGCUUCUGAGAAUUUGAGACGGACAGAUUUUGCAGAAGACACUGGUUAUUGAGAAGAAAAGAGUCACGAUGGUGGCUGUUUCCGAGAGGCUGGAGACGCCUUGUCUGGCAUCACCAAUCACACCACAUUCAUACCUGAAUCAUUAGAUCUCAGCCAUUCUGAUGCUUAGUCUAACAAUAACUGUAACUCUUGGCUCUAUCUGCAGGCUGCAUGUAUUGAAUUGUAGCCACAUGAUUUGCUGUAUGAAGCAACAGCCGGUUCAUGUUAACAGGCAGAUGUUGUUAAUAAUCAAGCCAGCUGUGUAUGUGCACCCAUGCAUCAAGCAGAACUGAACUUAAAGUUAUUAAAGUUAUUGCAAAAAUUUCAGAUAGUGUCCUGCGAUGGACUGGUGUCUGCCUUGCAUCUUGCACCUGCAGCUUCUAUGACAGGCUCUGGACCCCCAGUGACCCUGAAUAAAACAAGCAGGCCCUAAAGAAUGACUGACCUUGCUGGAGCCUCCAGAAAAGCUUUGCAUCAGCAAGACUUCUCCUCCGCCUCGCCCUCUGCCUCGUCCCCUACGACACCCCAUUUGGUUGCUCCUCC